rnacentral:rRNA from 1 species
AACGAACGCUGGCGGCAUGCCUAACACAUGCAAGUCGAACGAGACCUUCGGGUCUAGUGGCGCACGGGUGCGCAACGCGUGGGAACCUGCCCUUAGGUUCGGAAUAACUCCCCGAAAGGGGUGCUAAUACCGGAUAAUGUCUUCGGACCAAAGAUUUAUCGCCUUUGGAUGGGCCCGCGUUGGAUUAGCUAGUUGGUAGGGUAAAAGCCUACCAAGGCGACGAUCCAUAGCUGGUCUGAGAGGAUGAUCAGCCACACUGGGACUGAGACACGGCCCAGACUCCUACGGGAGGCAGCAGUGGGGAAUAUUGGACAAUGGGCGAAAGCCUGAUCCAGCAAUGCCGCGUGAGUGAUGAAGGCCUUAGGGUUGUAAUGCUCUUUUACCCGGGAUGAUAAUGACAGUACCGGGAGAAUAAACUCCGGCUAACUCCGU